rnacentral:lncRNA from 1 species
CCCUUUCUUCUUCUCUCUCACUCUUCUUUCGCGUUUUCCCCUUCUCCUCCUCCUCCUCCUCUCACUUUCAUUCCCCUCAUCCGAUUACGCCUCUCCGUUCCUCCCGCCGCAACUAUACUCGCCACCACGCCUCUCUCUCCGACCACUACCUCUCAUGCUCCGUCCCCGAGAAGCCCCUUCGUGUAGCCGUCCUCCUCAGCGGCGGCGUCGAUAGCAGCGUUGCCCUCCGCCUCCUCCACGCCGCUGGACACUCCUGUACCGCUUUCUACCUCAAAAUCUGGUUCCAGGUCUGUGUCUGCUUCUUCAUCUCAUGUCUCUGUCUAGAAACAUGGGUUUGUGAUGUUUCUAAUGUUCUGUAGGAAGGCUUUGAGAAUUUCUGGAACCAGUGCCCCUGGGAAGACGACUUGAAAUACGCAAAGCAUGUCUGUGAGCAGGUACUGUUCCUGGUCAAACCCUGUGACUAUGUUCUUGAUUUUUAGAUUAUGUUUUAUUAGAAAAGGUUCAUACUUUAUAUACUUCACUGGAAGAUAUGUUCACUGCUUAUUCGAAAAGGUUCAUACUUUAUAUACUUCACUGGAAGAUAUGUUUACUGCUUAUUCAAAAAGGUUCAUACUUUAUAUACUUAGAGCAAUUGAAAGGAUGAUGUUUACUGCUUGUUCAAAAAGAUUCAUACUUUAUAUACUUAAGAGCAAUGAAAGGAGUGCUUCUUGUGGUGUCAUUUUUACAGGUUGGUGUACCUUUAGAGGUUGUGCAUUUAACAGAUGAAUACUGGGUAAGAGUUGUAAGUUCUUUUUUGUUUCAUUGCUUCUUCUUUUUUUUAGAGUUGCCUAAUGGUUUAGGUUUUCUGAUUGGAUUUUUUUCGGUGACAUGUCAGGUUUCUUACAUUAUUGAGGAGUACAAAUGUGGGCGUACACCUAACCCGGAUGUUCUGUGUAAUACUAGAAUCAAGUUUGGUAAGCUCAUGAAAAGACUUGUGCUUUUAGUUGAAGUGUGUGUGCCACUUUGACUAAUCAGCUAUAUCUUAAUAGGGGCAUUCAUGGAUGCAAUCAGUGAUAUGGAGUAUGAUUACGUAGCUUCAGGUCAUUAUGCCAAAGUUGCCCAUCCUGCUGCUGGUGGUCCAUCUGUUUUGGAACUCUCACAAGACAUGGUACUUCAAUUAACACUCAUCACUUAAUCUGCCUUUAGUUUUCUGAUCAGCAUGUUUUAGAGAUAAUGUUACUUACUUGUUGGGUGUAAUAUUUGCAUUUGUAUGCUACUAAUGCUUCUUAGGUACAUUGCUUUGGUGUUUAUAGGUGAAAGAUCAGACGUACUUCCUCUCACAUCUCUCUCAAACCCAGCUUAAGCGACUCCUGUUCCCACUUGGUUGCGUAAAGAAGGUAUUCAAACCUCUCAGCCAUUUUGAAAACGUAUUAAAAAAAAAACAAUUUGUUUUAUUAGUGGUUAUCUUUAUGCUUGCCUGCCUUUGUUAUCUGAUGUAUAGGAAGAAGUUCGCAAACUAGCCACACAAUUUGAUUUGCCAAAUAAAGACAGAAAAGAUUCACAAGGAAUAUGUUUCCUUGGGAAGGUAAUUGUUCUUCUUCUGGUUCACAACAGCUUUACCUAGUACAAGCCUGAAACAUAUGAAAAUAUGGCGUUCUGUAAUAGAUAAAGUUCAGCGACUUUGUCGGAACACACAUAGGAGAGAAGGAAGGGAUCAUACUGGAAGCUGAAACUGGUGACUUCCUCGGUAACCAUAAGGGAUUUUGGUUUUACACUAUUGGACAGCGUCAAGGCCUGCGUUUACCCGGUGGACCAUGGUAUGUUGUUGAAAAGGACACCAAGAACAAUGUAGUGUUUGUCUCGAGAGAUUAUUACUCAAUCGACAAGAGAAGGAGGGUUUUCCGUGCUGGAUCCUUAAGGUGGCUUAGUGGGAAACCGUUAGUCAAUAUUAGCCAGCUUCGUUGCAAGGUAAAAAAGAAUAUGAUCGGUUACUUUUUCUACACAUGAUGGCUACAUGAUACUGAUAAGUUGAGUUUAUAGGUAAGGCAUGGACCUGGCUUCUAUAGCUGCAGCUUUGAAAUGGAAGCAGAAGGAGAUGUUGCGGUUGUUCACUUAGAUGAAGACGACCAAGGUCUAGCUGCUGGACAGUUUGCAGCUUUCUAUGAAGGAACCAUUUGUAUCGGGUCAGGUGUUAUCUUGGAGUCAUGGGACGAUCAGUGUUUCCCUGUUUGUGCCAAAGCUCUUCAACUCGCAGCUGUGGAAGACAAAACCAAACUUGGGAAACCUGUUAAAAUCAUGACGAUGCCAGUUACCACAUCUGUUGAGGCUGAGCCAGGAGAGUCAAGUGGAGAAGAAAGGCUUGUCAAUGCAUGAAACAGAGGAGAUUGUGUAGUAUUCUGAAGAAGCGACUUGAAGAGUUGAAAAAUCGAGAAGCAGAUGUUGCUAGAGGAUAAGAUGACUAAUUUUAUUUAGGAAAAACACUUGUCAGUUGUAAACAUUUGAUAGUUUGUUUUAUCUUCUUAUAUAUGGUGGCUUCAAGCUACGUCAUUGGCUCUCAGUGGUGGCCUCAUGGGAGAUCAUUUGUUGAUCAUCUUGGUGAUUGCAACUAUAACAAUGCAAGUACUGAUUCAAUCGUCUGAGUCACAACGUUCACCUCUUGCCAAGAGACCUCUACAAAGAACAGCUUAUGUGUGCAAAGGAGAAAAUAAACAUCUGUUAAAGCCAGUGAUUCACGCAGCCUUGUUCCUUUGCUCAGCUUCAAAUGAUAUCACAUAUGUAUCAAUAUAACCAAAAUUAGUAUUAUGAUUAGUCAUAUAUAUUUUCAACAUACAUAUUACAUGAUUUUUUUAGAUAGAAUAUCAAUCAAUUCAUAGGUUUCAUUUUUUUUAGAGUAUUAUUGAGAGUAUUAUUGUAAUUUUAAAAUCACAUAUUUUAAAAGAUCUUAAUCACAUAUUUUAAAAUUACAGUAAGGGCAAUUUUCUCAAAUAGCUUUUUUUAAGUUUUUGUCACAAAAAUAGAUCUCAAGAAAGAAAAUGACCAAAAUAGCAUCUUUUUAUUUUGAAAAUUUUAAUUUUAUUUUUUUAUUUUUUUUUAAAUUUGAAACUUUAUCUCCAAAACCCCACCCGUUAACUCUAAACCCUAAGUCUAGAUUAGUUAAGCCAAAGGUAAAAAUACAAUUUUAUCCUUUAAUAAAACUUAUUUUUGUCAUUUUCUUCAUUGAGAGCUAUUUUUGUGACAAAAACUUAAAAAUGACUAUCUUAAGAAAUUUCUCUUACAAUAAUAUUCAAUUUUUUUCUUGAGAGUAUUAUUGUAAUUUUAAAAUAUGUGAUUAAGAUCUUUUAAUUUAGACAAAUAUAUUUUGUAAGAUAAAAUAGUAUCUAUAUGCAUACUUUUUCAUAAUAAUCAUUUGCCUUUUUGUUUAUAGCAAUAUCCAAAGUUAACAAAAACCACCGAUUCGAAUAGCCAGACUGGAGGAACACAAUCGACAUACAACAAAGAAGAAUGAGAACUACGAGCACCACGUGUAAGUUUAUCCACUAAUGAAUUUUAUGCUUUCGAUAUUUGUCUGAUCGAGAAAAUAGAUAAAAUUCCUUAUAUCGUUCUAAUUUAUCCAUGUGAUUAGUAAAAGCUGGUCAUUCUUCAGGUGUUAAUACCACUUUCACCAAUUGAAAACAAUCUGUCUCCAAAAUCACCUAUGAGAAUUGUAGGGUAUUCGUACCUCAAUGGCCAAAAUCAAAACAUCACAUUCUGCAUGUAAAGGUGAUAAGUUUUGCCAUAUAUAUAUCGCCACAUCAUAUGAUCAUCCGAGUCUAUGGUUCUGCAAAACCAUCAUUGACUUGUAAAUUGAUCUUGUUCUCUCCAUGCCCCAAAAAUAUAAAAACAUUUGGUAGCCCUAUCAGAUCCCUCAAAGAAAUUGGACAAAUAUCCCCUUGUUCAUUUGACACUAUAAGUUGUGCCUCUAUCCAUAAUGAUCUUUCAGUUUCCAUUGUACAAAAAGAUUUUCUGUGGGUUUCCAUUCUUUUUAUAGAGCUUGUCAUUUAUAUUCUUCCAAAUCUACCACGUAAUCCAUGAAAAAUAAUUGAAGAGUCUCCAAAAAAGAUAAUCAAUGUUGGAAAAAACUCCAAGGUUCGAAAGUAUAUAGGAGAGAGAGCCCAUAUUUGUAAUGCUGGUGCGCAUUAAAAGAUAACAUGAUUGAUUCUUUAUCCGCUCCAAAUAUACUACACCGCUUAUUACAAUUAAUACCAUGUGAUCACAAAUUUUUAGUGACAUAUAAACUGGCCGAUAUUAUUUGCCAAAUAAAAUGCCUAAACUUUGGUGAAUAUUUUAAUUUCCACACAAAGGUCAAUAAAUGUUUGUUUUAAUUAGUCCAUAUAAUUUCAUCCAUGUUCCCUUAUCUGGAUAGAAUUUCUCCGUUUUAUAUCUUGAUUUAACCGUAUACUUACCUGGUACUGUAAAAUGUCAACUAUAAAAAACUAUAAAAAUCUGGUUUAUGGUUAGGACUUAUGGCCAAAAUUUUGAUGAUUUUCAUAACUUUUGGAUGUAUAUAUGCAUUAAGAAACUCCAUAUUCCAAGAGACAUCCACUGGAUUAAUGAGAUGUUCCACCUUUAAUAAGUGGUGUAAAUAUUGAUAUUGAUGUUUUGAUAUUGCUAAUCUCAGGAAUAGAAAUCCAAGGAUUAUUCCACAUUGAGAUAGAUUUCCCUAUACCUUCUCUUAUGAUUAGUUUUUUUAACCAGAGAUUUAGCAGAACAUAUACUUUUUCAACCAAAUGAUGGUGAGUAUGAUCUGUGUUGAUCCAAAUGAUAUGUCUUCCUAAAAAACUUCCUUUAUAAACCCUCGAAACUAAAGAUUUUGGCUUGUUUAUCAAUCUCCAAAAUUGUUUUGUCAAUAAAGUUGUAUUAAAUUCUUGAAAGUCGCGAAAACCCAACUCUCCUUCUUAGACUAUGUACAUUUGUUCAGUUUUUUCAACAUCAUAUUUUUUACUUUUACCAUUUCAUGUCAUUCUCUUUUUCCUUCCACAUCAUUAGUCAAUAUCUAUUUUUAUUUCAUAUUUAAUAUUUUUAUAUUUUGUAACUAAAAAAUAACAGAUAGAAACAUAAAAACUACUAAAAUUAAAUAAUUAUUAAUUUACAUCAAAAUCAUUAGAAUUGAAAUGUUAUGAUAUGUUUUAGGAAAAAAUAUUAAAAAUAUAAACAAAACUUUACUGAAAAUACUUAAAAACUUAUGAUAAUUUUUUUUGUAUAUGUCCAAAUCAUAUAAAACUAGUCUCUAUUUGUAGAUCACAAAAAAUAAAGAAUUCUUGUAGAAAAUAAUAAAAUAAAUAAAUUAAACUAUUGUAGAAUAAAUUACUUAAAACAAUGAAGGUGAAUACAAAAAAAAAAAAUCUUUAUCAUCAAUAAUCAAUAAAAGAGCAAUAGACACUCUUGUGGACCCCAGUUUUGUGGUUCCAACCUAUUGAAAAAAUUCCACACUAAAUAAUACACGUAAAGCAUCCAAUUUUUUCAACAGGUUCAAUGUAAGCCAUUCAACAGUUGAAUUAAAAAUUCAACAGGCCAUUUACGAUGGCCUUAUUAAUGCUCCACCAAAAAUAUGCAAGUACACUUGUUAGUUUUUUGUUAGUGUUUUAGGAAGUCUAGAGCAUGACAUAAUAUGUGUUGGCAUCACUGAUGCUACAUAUUUUAAAGUUACUCAUUUUCCUCUUUUCGUAAGAAACCGAACUGUCAAACUAUUCACUUCAUUAUUUAUCAUUUAAUUUAGAUAACCGCAGAUUUUUUGUUUUUGAUCCACCCAUACUUUCUGGGAUGCUCAAAUAAUUACCCAUACCAUCCAAUGUAGUAAUGCCGAGUUGGUUUUGAAUCACGACUUGUAAGACUUCUGGGACCUUAUGUCCAAAUUGUAUGGAAGAUUUUGUAAAAUUUAUUUGUUGACUUGAUACUGACUUACAGUCUGUAACUACCCCACACUCCUCCAUAGUAGCCAUGCAGAAGAGUAAUUUUUUCAUUCGGAAAUAGUAAACUAGAGAUCUUUGGACUCCCUUUUGCUAUUUUGAGCUUUGUUAAACGUUUUUCAUGUUCUUUUGUUAGAUGGACCAACUUAUUUCUUUAAUAAUUUUAAAAAUCAUCCUGGUGAUGACACGUGAUUACAAAAAAUGUCCUAAUAUUUCACAAAUAAUAUAUAGGGGAUAGGGGAUAUUGCAAAAUAGAGCGGCUGAGACAACCAACCCCUCCGGCUAGAACUCAUCGAUUCCCGAUGUUCUCGACGGUUAUGAAGCCUUUACUAUCUCCGUCACCGUCGCUGUUUCGCCUUCCUCCCCUUUCUUCUUCUCUCUCACUCUUCUUUCGCGUUUUCCCCUUCUCCUCCUCCUCCUCCUCUCACUUUCAUUCCCCUCAUCCGAUUACGCCUCUCCGUUCCUCCCGCCGCAACUAUACUCGCCACCACGCCUCUCUCUCCGACCACUACCUCUCAUGCUCCGUCCCCGAGAAGCCCCUUCGUGUAGCCGUCCUCCUCAGCGGCGGCGUCGAUAGCAGCGUUGCCCUCCGCCUCCUCCACGCCGCUGGACACUCCUGUACCGCUUUCUACCUCA